rfam:Pteropus alecto contig26141, whole genome shotgun sequence.
GUCUACGGCCAUGCCACCCUGAACACGUCUGAUCUCAUGAGAUCUCGGAAGCUAAGCAGGGUCGGGCCCGGUUAAUACUUGGAUGGGAGACCACCUGGGAAGACCGGGUGCUGUAGGCU